AGUUAUGUAACUGUCCAGCCACAAAUCACUUAUUAAACAACUGGAUUCAGAAGACCAAGAUCUGCAUUUGGGUCACUCCAGUUAUCUUGAGAUCUGGGACCCAGGUGGCUGGGGUGGCAGCUGAUCAUGUCAGGAGGACUCCUCUGCACAACAUCACAAGCACAGGAGAGAAUGCUAAACUUGAUUGGGAGCUCACAGAAGACCCCUGGAACCCAGAGCAAUAAGAUGAAUGCAUGAUAUCUCUUGGUAAAAUGGCCCAGAAGAAACACAGGAAGGAGUUAUGAAAAGAUAACACCCGGAAAUUUGGACCCAGAGAUACAUUCAGAGAGAAGAUGAUGUGAAGGCACAGGAAGGAUGCCCUGUGAACAUCAGGACCAAUGCCUGCAAACCUAGGAGAGAGGUCUACAACAGAUCCUUCCCUCGCAGCCCUCAGAUCGAACUGACCCUGCAAGUACCUUGAUUUUGGACUUCUGGCUUCCAGAACUGAGCAACAAUAACUUUCUGUUGAAGCCGUCCAGUUUUGAAGCCACCCAGUCUGUGGUGCUUGGUUACCGCGGCCCUAGCAAACUUGCCUGAGGCUUUCCAAAUCACAGCCCCGUUUUGUCACAGGGGAAGAAUUCUAAGAAGUUCUUUAUUUGGCCAAGUGAGGGAUAGAAGAAUAAUGAGCAUUUCCCUCAUCACAGCUCUGACAACUGCCUCAGCCACACACGGCUUAGGAGAUUGGCCACUUCCUCCGCCUUCAGCUUGCAGGGGGCUUCAGUAAUAAAUGUGUAGAAGUGUUUGGUCUUCUCAAUGCUGGGAAUCCAGGGAGUAUGGCCUGGCAUACAUGGAAACCAGUCCCCUAAAGACCUCAUUGACACAGGCCUCAUUUGGGGGUCUCCUCAGGCACUUCCCCCUUGGCUCCUGAGGCCAGAACCCGACCCUGCUGUGUCUCUCUUCCAUGCAUCUUUUUGCCAUCUCUGCUCUCUGGAAUCUGCAACAAUAUGAGGGUGCUCAGGACUUUGAUGUUGCUACUGACCUCAGCAUGCCCCAGUCCAAACCUACCUUCUUCCUCCUGGGCCCACAUCCGCUUCUGCUCCCCACUUCCCCAGUGUCUUCAUUCUUUUCAUCACAUGCUGACCAAAGACUCAUCUUUAGGCACUCUCUAUGUCCCUUCUGCUACAUCCACUCUGUUGCCACAUCUCCUGAAUUCUUCUGUCUGAUUUCUUCUCACUCUUCCUUUCCACCCUGGAUCAGUCCAUUGGGGCCGCAUGUCAGGACACCGGAUGACACUGUUUGGACACCUGGAAGGAUCGGGUAAAAGAUACAGAGAAGUCUAAGGAGGGAUAGGGUGAGUCUGGGAUGGGCUGUGGAUUAGGCACCAGGUAAAGCUAAUUGGGGGGUGGGUGAGGAAUGGGGUGAGGGUAUCUAUUGCAUCUAUUUUAUGGUAAUAAAAGGAAGUUGAAAGUUCAGUUGCUUGUUUUGGGGAAUUAAAAAUGAUCAUGAAUGUCAAAAUGUGAGCAACUUUGCACAGAAUGGCAAUAUCAGAGUGUCAUGGAUCAUCGCAGAAGCCUUCUCCUUGUUGCCUGCAUUUC
rnacentral:lncRNA from 1 species